AUGCCUUCCUGGAACGACGAGGAAACCAGCUCGGAGGAGGAGUGCGAGGCUGUCAGCAUGGACAUGGGACUUAUGGAGGAACCAGACACCACUGUGGAGCCCCUUUUCUGUGGCCAACUUGAGCUUGCUCAUCCCAAGUGCAUUCUGCACCAACUGAGUCCUAUUAAGCGUGUUGCUUUUGAAGGGCCUGAAAAUGGUGUGAAUUGUGGUGUUGCAGAGUGGGUUGAUGGGCCUUGGCCAACUGUUCUUCAGAGAUGUUUGUGCAAGCUAUGGGAGAUGUUCCAUGAGAAGAACUUUGGAAGGGUACAGGACAAGGAGAAGUUUGAGCAGGAGUUGGCCAGGCUUAAGAGUGAACAUGAAAGGGAGUUGGCCAAGCUGAGGACUGAAAAUGACAAGCUUUGCAUUGAGUACACCAAGCUUGUUGAUGAUGUAUCCAAGAUGUUUGAUUGGCAGGAUGGUAGGGUGACAAGAAACAAGUGGAGGAGGAAGAACUUGAGAAGAAGAAGAAGGAGCUAG
rnacentral:rRNA from 1 species